AUUGAACGCUGGCGGCAUGCCUUACACAUGCAAGUCGAACGGCAGCACGGGUGCUUGCACCUGGUGGCGAGUGGCGAACGGGUGAGUAAUACAUCGGAACGUACCUUAUCGUGGGGGAUAACGCAGCGAAAGUUGCGCUAAUACCGCAUACGCCCUGAGGGGGAAAGCGGGGGACCGUAAGGCCUCGCGCGAUUAGAGCGGCCGAUGUCUGAUUAGCUUGUUGGUGAGGUAAAAGCUCACCAAGGCGAUGAUCAGUAGCUGGUCUGAGAGGACGAUCAGCCACACUGGGACUGAGACACGGCCCAGACUCCUACGGGAGGCAGCAGUGGGGAAUUUUGGACAAUGGGGGCAACCCUGAUCCAGCAAUGCCGCGUGAGUGAAGAAGGCCUUCGGGUUGUAAAGCUCUUUUGUCAGGGAAGAACCAGCAGCUCUAACACAGUCUGCGAAUGACGGUACCUGAAGAAUAAGCACCGGCUAACUACGUGCCAGCCGCCGCCGUAA
rnacentral:rRNA from 1 species